AUUGAACGCUGGCGGAAUACUUUACACAUGCAAGUCGAACGGCAGCACGGACUUCGGUCUGGUGGCGAGUGGCGAACGGGUGAGUAAUGUAUCGGAACGUGCCCAGUCGUGGGGGAUAACGUAGUGAAAAUUACGCUAAUACCGCAUACGCUCUAUGGAUGAAAGCGGGGGAUCGCAAGACCUCGCGCGAUUGGAGCGGCCGAUAUCAGAUUAGGUAGUUGGUGGGGUAAAGGCCCACCAAGCCAACGAUCUGUAGCUGGUCUGAGAGGACGACCAGCCACACUGGAACUGAGACACGGUCCAGACUCCUACGGGAGGCAGCGGUGGGGAAUUUUGGACAAUGGGCGAAAGCCUGAUCCAGCCAUUCCGCGUGCAGGAUGAAGGCCCUCGGGUUGUAAACUGCUUUUGUACAGAACGAAAAGGUUUCUACUAAUACUAGGAGCUCAUGACGGUACUGUAAGAAUAAGCACCGGCUAACUACGUGCCAGCCGCCGCCGUAA
rnacentral:rRNA from 1 species